AACAUUUGCCUUGAGUACCCUAUUGUCAAUAGAGAUAUUAAUGUAUCUCUGACUUACAUCUGCAAGAUGUCUUAUCAAAGAGUUAUUUGCGACUCUUAAUAGUGAGACAUGUAUUGUUUUAGCAGCGGUCAUCAGAUUCCUUGCUCACGUAGUAUGCAAUAUUCAUCUUGAGAAGUAAAAUAGUGUUUAAAAUAUCAGACCUGCUCCUCUAGUUCCUUCGUAUGAGCUGCUUUUCUACUCCUUGAGCGUCUCGCCGAAUCCCUGUUAGAUUCUUUCCUGAAAUCAUAUGAGGAAUCUGCUUAAAAGGCGGAACUUGAGGGCUAAACGACAACAAAAAUAUAUGCUCACAAAUGUUUGCCAAAUAUGAUAAUUGGUAUUGGUGUAUUUGGCAUACAAUGUAAUUAAACGUAAAAUGUUCAUUAACGUGCAUGAGACAUGCACACCCAUUUCAAUAAGAAGAGGGG
rnacentral:lncRNA from 1 species